UACGGGGGGGGGCAAGCGUUGUUCGGAAUUAAUGGGCGUAAAGGGCUCGUAGGCGGCCAACUAAGUCGGACGUGAAAUCCCUCGGCUUAACCGGGGAACUGCGUCCGAUACUGGAUGGCUUGAGUUUGGGAGAGGGAUGCGGAAUUCCAGGUGUAGCGGUGAAAUGCGUAGAUAUCUGGAGGAACACCGGUGGCGAAGGCGGCAUCCUGGACCAACACUGACGCUGAUGAGCGAAAGCCAGGGGAGCAAACGGG
rnacentral:rRNA from 1 species